CUGCUCACUUCAACAGUACAUAUAUGGUAAAAUUGGAGUGAUACAGAGAAGAUUAGCAUGGUCCCUGCACAAAGAUGUCAAAAAUUCAUGAAAUAUUCCAUAUUUGA
ensembl:snRNA U6 U6 spliceosomal RNA